GUGAGGCUAAUAUCGGAAGGAUGCUAUGGAGCUGCAGAAUUCGUUCAUACCCACAAGGAGCCGGCAUUGGAAAAUGGACUUGUACAGAUUCAAAAUCGUCCUCGGAUAAUUGAACCAGUAACCGGUCUCUGCAAUCAGACGUCAGACUUUCCUGCAGAGCCAAACUAUCGAGAUCAUGCAAAAAUUAAACCGCGCAGGUACGGAACAAACUGCCGGGUUCAGAGCAAUCAAGUGGACUGAGACCAACGGAAGUAGUUGCGAAGCAAUGCAAACAUGCGGUGACAUGCGGGAAGACGAACAAUGCAGUCACGACCGGACCAGCAUCAUAUGGCUGCAGCAUCGAAGAUUAAAAGGACGUAUGUAACUGGAUAUAUUUAAAAUCUUAAGAUCUUAAAAUCUUAAAAUCUUAAAAUCUUAAAAUCUUAAAAUCUUAAAAUCUUAAAAU